UACGUAGGGCGCAAGCGUUGUCCGGAAUUAUUGGGCGUAAAGAGCUCGUAGGCGGCCAGUUGCGUCUGCUGUGAAAUCCCGGGGCUCAACCCCGGGCUUGCAGUGGAUACGGGCUGGCUGGAGGCAGGCAGGGGAGAACGGAAUUCCCGGUGUAGCGGUGAAAUGCGCAGAUAUCGGGAGGAACACCGGUGGCGAAGGCGGGUCUCUGGGCCUGUACUGACGCUGAGGAGCGAAAGCGUGGGGAGCGAACAGG
rnacentral:rRNA from 1 species